ACUACACAAAUUUUUCCGUAACGAAUUAUCAGCCUUCCUGCCUUCGCAUUUCAAAAUUGCCAUUAGAUGGCUGCUCUCCGACUUGUGAAUGCCGCGAGCGCUGCGAGUACCGAGAAGAAAAGUCUGGCGUUGCUGUAUGAAGUUGAAGAAGUGUCUCAAAAUUUCUUGAUAAGCCAUUUUGAAAAGUGAUUCCAACGAGAAACGUUCUUCCGCUGUCUACAAUUUAUUGUGAGAUCUAAUUUAAAUGAACGCCAUCCUUCUAGUACAAAUUGUUUGCAACUAAUGUUGAUGACAAGAUGCAGGAUACCAUAUUGGUUAAGGCAUGACAUUGAAGAGAUAUCGUCAGUUUUUUCACCAUUGCAUUCAUCACAUCACAGAAGGAAUGAAGGGACGGUGUUGCUACUGAUAUGGGAUGUUGAGUCAAGACUGUGCAGCAAUCCAGUAACACCAUCAGACAUGGCUACAAGAAGUUGGAAAUGUACUUGCUCGUUGUGAUCGUCCACAAUUCGUUACCAAGGGCAUGUGAUUACCACGACGUACUUGAAGGUGGCUAACUUGGAACAUGAUGGUGUCUUGGUGGAGUAUUGCUAGGUGCUGACCUUUCAACACCGAUUGAUGAGUAUUGCUGUUCGAGAAGUUACUUCUGUGUGUGUUUAACGGUCGGAAGCAACAGUAGCAGUAGCCUGCACAGCAUCGCAUGUUUCAAUAUGUAUGUCGGGUGGUGGAACCAACUUGUUAGCUGGAUUGAAACCUACUUGCUAUCACUGGAUUCAACUGAGUGGUUAUAGCUGUGGGUGUUGGAUCGAGUCAGGGAGAGGCUGUAAUCUGAACAAUAGGAUUAUUUCAGUUGGGUUUUAUUCAACACACUAGCAAUGAAUCUACCUACGAUAUUAAAAAACUAGGCGUCGGGAGAGGGUUACUACAGAUGUUACUUGCCGCAGAAGUUCUCCAUUAACAAACCGUUAUCACUUCCAUUAUAUCAAAGGACUUACGCAUCACAAACUUGAAGGUGAUGAAAUUUGACUAUACGGUCAAUUGAGUUCGACUAUAUCACGAGGUUAAGCAUCUAGCCCAUUGUCGUUCAAGAUUUCCAUCACGGCCCCAAGAAAAACUCGCCGUCUAGAAUCUACUCAUCGGUGAAAAUCCAGGACCAUGAAGGAAAUAUCAACUCAUGCAAAACAGCUGUUGCGCUCUACGUAUUACCCAAACCCAUCAACUAAAAGAGUGUUACUCCUGGAACAUCGAUGAGUGUUGUUCGUCAAACAAUUUUUCGUAAACAAAGUUAUGUAGCUCGAAAACAAGUCGACAUACCUUGUGUCUACACAGCCGGAUUUCGCGUCAACUGGCGCAUUCAAUUAUUCAUAUCUCCAAAGAUGUCAAAAUCAACACACUAAUUAUACAUAAAACUAGCGAUGGGAAAUUUCCAUGAUUCCUCCAGCAUUCUAGCUGAUUAGGACGAUGUAACACCUCAUGGACAACUAACUACGUAAACUUGUAGUUCUUCAUCUUCUUAGUGAAGGAGUCAACCAUCCUCGUCCCAGUUUCGCACAUUAUUCAGGCUGCAUUAAGCAAUGAUACGGAUACAUUGACUGCCAUUUUGCUGAAUUGAAGCUGUGCACCAUUUUCUGGCCUUUGCUGGAACUUUGGAUAUUGACCCGCCACAAGUGAAGAUAGUUGGAGUUUACGCUGUUAGCAUUGCCACGAGUGCACGAGAGUUAGGAAUAGUUUAUGCUAGUACGACAACCUUCUUUUUUUCAAGGGAACAUUAGAGAUUGGGAUUUGGGGGAAAAAUGCGGAGUAAAAAUAAGAUUAAAUCGGCAACAAGUAUAUGUUGCUAUAGAAUAUUUGACUGUAAUAAAAACAAAUUAAAGUAGCCUUUAUAUAAUAUACAUUUAUAUUGAAGUUGAAUAUUACAUACAUUGCAUUUAUGUAAAAAAGUUAUAUUCUUAUAGUUAUUGUCAAAUGUGUCAUUUUUUUGUACCCUAUUCUUGUGAAAGUUCCUUUGCAAGUUAAACUGUUUCCGUUCCUUGGUAUUCUGUUUCGGCUUUCGAAAUAUGUAGUUAGUAAUUUGUGUUAUCAUUAUUUUUUUUUUGUUAACCAUUAAUAUUUUAAAAAGGAACAAAACCAAUGAUAUAAUGAGUUGUCUAGUAAACAAGGAAAAACCACCAAAAUUUCCUCAAUUCCCAUACUACCAACACCCUCUUCCAGCUCCUCGACCUCCUGCUAAAUACAACGGUUGUGUGCCCAACGGUGGGAUUGGAUUAUUGAUUAGUAAAGAAAACGAAGUUCACAGAAAAGAAAGGAGCCCAAAUUUGCAUUUUUUGAAGUAGCUUUAACCUAUGAUGUGUAUCAUGCAAUUUAGGAGCAGACAAAGUUUCCCAAGAUGAUUCUAUUCUGUAGUAGGGCAUUUAGCCGAGACAAAGCUGUCACAUUCCUAUGCUGCUAUCCAAUUAUCAAUGGCCAUCGGCACUUACAGAAAAAAAGAAAGAUUUAUCACAGGUAAGGCACAGUGCAGAAUGACAGGAAUAAAGCUAAAAGGGUGAUACCUAGAGGUAGCGGAAGACGAUAUUUCGUCAACUAUCUGGAAUCACUGACAGACGAGACACACAUCAGCGAACGUCAUGCUGCCUUCCACUCAUUUUUAUCCACCUUGGGUAUUUUGUCUGUUGUGAUGUGUGAUGCUGUGGUGGUGGCUUUUUGGUGAAGACGAGAUACAAAUUUGGAGGAGAGAAUAUUACAUAUGGGCUUAUGACGUCAAAAGUUCAGCGACAUCUUCUUCGAAAAUUACCAAUGAAUUCGUUGGAGAAAAUGUGAAAGGUUCAUGAAGCCUGUACUGUCAACUAUUGUGAAUCCUGGUAUCCUAACUGAAUAUGUCAUCCAAAUGACAGAGUGGCGUGAGGAAUUGCAAAUUUAGCUGCUGCGUGCUGUCUGCAAGGAAGCAAUCCAAUUGGCUGUCGCUAGGUGGCGCGAGCGUCUUCGGCCAUUUUGUUCCUUGACAAAUGAGAAGUGGGAUGCUGCAUGCUGGUCGUGACGUUUCCCAUGGUGAAAAUGUAAAGGUGAUUUCAAUACCACUUUGUCAAACCAGAAUCUAUCUGGGAAGCCUGUCCAUUUUGCUGAAAUGUCGUGCCUCGUGUGUCUUGCUGCCUGCACCCAGUCGUAUGUCUCGUGCCAUGCUAAAGCAAAAGUCCGCUGUUGGUUACCUUAUUGCAGCCAGGUGGUGAAAGAUGUGAUGGAGACUAAUUGAACUGUUGUAUGCAGCGUGUGGUUCCAGUGUUAUCCAGAAGUAGCUGUGCUGGCGGUAUCCUGAACUAGCCUGAAGUUGCCAGUGAUAUCUGGGUCUCUGACUUUAAAUAUAUUUUAUGUUUGCAUUUGUGUAUUUCUCUCUGCCAAUGCUAUCCUGUGUUUGAAAUCUUUUCUCAUUCGUGUUUUUUGCUCUACCAGUGAUUUCCUGUGUUUCACUCUUGAAAUGGUUCCAUUGUCUUUGGCGUUUUUAUUGUGCAGUAUACGAUUGAGGCAACCUGAUCUAUGUCAGGUUUGACUCAGUCGACAACUGCUAGAUUAAAUUCCGGCUUUCUGCACCAACAAAAUAAUAACGGCACAUGUUAUUAUCGCGGUUGGGAAAGUCACAGGCCCCCCCCUCCCUGGGGGCCAUAAAA
rnacentral:lncRNA from 1 species